UGCGUAGGCGGCUAUUUAAGUAGGGUGUGAAAUCCCCCGGCUCAACCGGGGAACUGCGCUCUAAACUGGAUGGCUUGAGUGAGAUAGGGGUGUGUGGAACUUCCGGUGGAGCGGUGAAAUGUGUUGAUAUCGGAAGGAACGCCGGUGGCGAAAGCGACACACUGGGUCUCAACUGACGCUGAGGCACGAAAGCCAGGGGAGCGAACG
rnacentral:rRNA from 1 species